UACGAAGGGGACUAGCGUUGUUCGGAAUCACUGGGCGUAAAGCGCGCGCAGGCGGCUAUCCAAGUCAGUGGUGAAAGCCCGGAGCUCAACUCCGGAACUGCCAUUGAAACUGUUUAGCUUGAGGCCGGGAGGGGUAGCGGAAUUCCCAGUGUAGCGGUGAAAUGCGUAGAUACUGGGAGGAACACCAGUGGCGAAGGCGGCUACCUGGACCGGUUCUGACGCUGAGGCGCGAAAGCGUGGGUAGCAAACAGG
rnacentral:rRNA from 1 species